rnacentral:rRNA from 1 species
GCUCUCGGGUGACGAGCGGCGGACGGGUGAGUAAUGUCUGGGAAACUGCCUGAUGGAGGGGGAUAACUACUGGAAACGGUAGCUAAUACCGCAUAAUGUCGCAAGACCAAAGUGGGGGACCUUCGGGCCUCAUGCCAUCAGAUGUGCCCAGAUGGGAUUAGCUAGUAGGUGGGGUAACGGCUCACCUAGGCGACGAUCCCUAGCUGGUCUGAGAGGAUGACCAGCCACACUGGAACUGAGACACGGUCCAGACUCCUACGGGAGGCAGCAGUGGGGAAUAUUGCACAAUGGGCGCAAGCCUGAUGCAGCCAUGCCGCGUGUGUGAAGAAGGCCUUCGGGUUGUAAAGCACUUUCAGCGGGGAGGAAGGCGAUAAGGUUAAUAACCUUGUCGAUUGACGUUACCCGCAAAAGAAGCACCGGCUAACUCCGUGCCAGCAGCCGCGGUAAUACGGAGGGUGCAAGCGUUAAUCGGAAUUACUGGGCGUAAAGCGCACGCAGGCGGUCUGUCAAGUCGGAUGUGAAAUCCCCGGGCUCAACCUGGGAACUGCAUUCGAAACUGGCAGGCUAGAGUCUUGUAGAGGGGGGUAGAAUUCCAGGUGUAGCGGUGAAAUGCGUAGAGAUCUGGAGGAAUACCGGUGGCGAAGGCGGCCCCCUGGACAAAGACUGACGCUCAGGUGCGAAAGCGUGGGGAGCAAACAGGAUUAGAUACCCUGGUAGUCCACGCCGUAAACGAUGUCGAUUUGGAGGUUGUGCCCUUGAGGCGUGGCUUCCGGAGCUAACGCGUUAAAUCGACCGCCUGGGGAGUACGGCCGCAAGGUUAAAACUCAAAUGAAUUGACGGGGGCCCGCACAAGCGGUGGAGCAUGUGGUUUAAUUCGAUGCAACGCGAAGAACCUUACCUGGUCUUGACAUCCACAGAACUUAGCAGAGAUGCUUUGGUGCCUUCGGGAACUGUGAGACAGGUGCUGCAUGGCUGUCGUCAGCUCGUGUUGUGAAAUGUUGGGUUAAGUCCCGCAACGAGCGCAACCCUUAUCCUUUGUUGCCAGCGGUUCGGCCGGGAACUCAAAGGAGACUGCCAGUGAUAAACUGGAGGAAGGUGGGGAUGACGUCAAGUCAUCAUGGCCCUUACGACCAGGGCUACACACGUGCUACAAUGGCAUAUACAAAGAGAAGCGACCUCGCGAGAGCAAGCGGACCUCAUAAAGUAUGUCGUAGUCCGGAUUGGAGUCUGCAACUCGACUCCAUGAAGUCGGAAUCGCUAGUAAUCGAGAUC